UGAGGUGAGACCUGGAAAACUGACACCCUGUGUUGUGGGUGGGUACGAUAGGUCAGUCACAACACCCGAUUGGUAGGUCACUCAUAGAUGGGUGCAAUCUGGCCAAUGGGACGCAGUCCAAACGGUUCAAGGGACCUAUUUAUGCCCAUGCACAUGACCCAGAGCUUCCUCUUUUGGCGCGUGCAUUCAGAACACCCACCCACCUCUCACUAAUUUUAGGGCUUGCACUUGACCUUGCUAUGCCGUCGUGUGUCAUUGGGACAGGGGCACAGCAGGUAUUUCCCCCACUUGGCUGAUUGGCUGUUGCCAUUUGGGUUUCGCCUGCCGCGUAGCAAAUCAUCACAACUUGUAAGGUUGUGGAUAGGCUCUGGUUCAGGUGAUAGGGAUGGGAGAACACUCUCGCCAUCCCUAUGUGAAGGGUAUUCUGUUAAAGGAAUCCAGGGACUCGAUGGUUUGGUCAACCCCUGCGAGGGGGUUGUACCCGUGCCUGAGUCCAGGGGGACAUUUUGGUGGUGGAGUUAGCCUGUUCCCGGCUUUCCACUUAUCCAGGUCAUCACCCUGGAACCCUGGGUCAGCGCUACCUGCAUGGCAGGGAGCUAGUCGAACCAGAGCCUAUGCAACCAGUCACUGUCUGUAAUCGAUAAAGUUGUGGCCUAAAUUCUGCCAAAAACCAAACCAAAAUUUGAGUCGUGUGAAUUUAUUUAGGGGGGAGGUUCCUGGGUCUGAACACGCGAAAGGGAAAGGGAAAGGAGAAAUGGAUGCAUAGGUUGGUAUCUAAAUAUGCUAUGCUGCCAUCAUAUGCCAAAUAUUAACUUUUUGAAGAGCUGUUGCUCUUGGCAGAAGGCAAGCUUCAUAGCCUAAGAGGAUGUGGUUGGAGUGGAGUUUUCAUGCCCUGCAUGUUCAUUGUGUUCGUGCUACUGAUGCAAACAUUAUCUAUAAUUACAUUUUCAAGAGACCGAAAAUUGCAGCCCUUUGUUGCACAAAAUUGCUCCUAAAAGAAUGGAAUGUAUAUCCUUUCCGUCCUCAUUUAAAAAGGGGGGGGGGGCUUCAAAGGAUAAGAAUGUAUAAGGCUCUCAGCUAUACAAAACCAGGCCCAGUCACCUGUUCGGGACAGAAAAUAUAUCCCGAAUCAAAUACUGCAAAAUGCUAAAGAGAGUGUUGAUAGCACAAUACUAACAAUGGCAAGGCGUUGUUCAAACUGAUGGUUUGGGGUUUGAUUUAUUUCACAACCUCUAUAUACCUCUUGAUUGUAAUAAAACCUCUAAGAGGUUUACAGAAAAUCAACAAUAAGCAAAAGGAGAUUAAAACACAUGCCAGCUUCUACACGUCUAACUAGACUUGCCCAAACAAAAAGGGUUUUAUGCAAGGGCUGAAAAGAGUACAGGAAACUCACCUGUCUUGUGUCAAUAGGAAGGGAGUGACAACGUGUAGGUGCUGCCGUACUAGAAGAUUGAACAAGUGUUACUGAUCAUACCCCCGCAACUUCUGACUUUAAAAUGUAAAUUCCUUAAGGCAAAGACUUGGCUUCUGCGUCUGUUACACCAUAAAGCAUAGUGUAAGCUAAUAGGUCUAGCUAGAUGGCAGUGGUGGCCAUUGUGGUUGUGUUUUAACAACAACUUCAGUGGGAUUGAAGCAGCCUGAAUGCAUGCAGGAUUGCAGCCGAUUGCUAUAGCAAAGCCAAUUGCACAUUUUUUUCCUGAGUAUCCAGAGCUAUUGCAAAUACUGCAGAUGCACCUCAUGUGCAGCGUAGCAGUUUUCCUCCGCUUGAUAAUAAGCCUGACAACUAGGGUAGUAGGAUAUGCUGGCCUUAGAAUAAAUUCAGAAAAUUGAGGGCAAUUUAUGCAACAUUCCAGGGGCACAAAGUGGUUACUCAUGCAGGGCUCCAUGUAGUCUAGAUUCUCACAAGAAAGCUUCUUCACUCAUGUGCCAGUUCCUCAUGUGCUGUGUUGGCACAUCAGGGCAGCUUCCUUCUCAGCCAUAGGUUACUGGCAUGGGAAAGCUACAUGUGAGAGGACUUUUAUCUGGCUAAUGCCUUUUAAGGAAGACACAUGCAACCUAUCAAGGGUAAGUGCUUGUUGCUUCUCAGAUGGCCAUUUGAAGGUCAGUCAUUACACCAGCUGUAUGAAAGUCACCGAGAAGCAGCUGAAGAGGUCAAAUGUAUACAGAGAUGUUUAGUGUGUGGUUUUCCAAGUUGCAUGGCAUCUCUUCACACCACCGCUGAGCAUUCCUAAAAGUGGAUGAUGCUGGUGUGAAGAGACUCCAUGUGAACUAGGGUUGAGUCACACAGGAGUUGGUUCACAUGCUGUCUGGAGCCUCCAGGUGACUGUAGAAGCUGUUAUGUUUUGACAGCUGCUACAGUCAUUUCCGUAGAGCACCCUUCCAAUACACUCUCUGAACAUUUAAAUUUGGUAUCUGUGUAUUAAAACUCAAAAGUGGAAUCGCUGCUAUGGGGAAGCAUUUUCUUGUGUCUUCAAUGUGGUUGCUUUAACAGAUAGAUUGGCUCUACAUGAGCAAGUAUGUGGCUUCCAAGGGGACCGUCAUGUGUUUAAGUAAAGGCUGGAGAUGCUUACGUAAAUUCUGUCUGAUGCAUUCCACCCCAGAUUUUAAGGUUCCAAUCAAAUCCACACUAGACGAAAAUUGAAAGAAGAUAAACUCUUUGCCCCCAUCAAGGUACUCAAAUUCCUCUUUAACAUUUUUAUUGUUUAUUUGCACAGUUGCAAAACUGUUUUAAGGGUGUGUGUGUUUUUCCUACUUUAAACGUUUGGAAUUGUGCUGUUGUUGUUUUAUAUCUGCUUCCCCAUUUUCCACCAGAGGGCAAAUAGUAGCUGUUGCAAAAUCCAUCACUGACAUUUCCAAAAUUCACAAUUCAAAUGGUCUGGAAUCCAAGAGAUAUCAGAAUGUUGGAACAAUGACGGAGCUGGAACCCUAUGGAAUAAGAAUUGAGUGAAAUGGAGGAGAUCCCUUCAUCCCUAGUAAAUGUUUCCAGAAUUGCUUGUCAUAAUUCUCUAGAAUGGAACAAGCCAGAAAAGCAGCACUUUAUGCUUGGCUGCCAUUAAAGGUCAUUCAUUCAAGUCAGCCUUCUGGUUGAAACCUGUGACUGCUGCAUUCCUUUGUGCAUUUCGCAAAGAAGCUGAUUGAGCUUUCUUUACAUCUCUUUCAAUACAAGUACAAAAAAAGUUGCGUUAAGUGUAGAUGUUAACCACAUUCUUGAGUCCCCUCCAGCUGAACCGUAUGUUGUCAGAGCAGCUGGGGGGAAACAAGGCAGGGAAUUAGAUAAAGCCAAAGGUUUGUUGGCUUCAUUAAUGCACCUGAAUUCUCAAGGCACAAAUGCAUUGGGGUGUGAAUUUUUUGGCAAGGCUCAGGCUAUGAUCCCCUGAAAAGUCGGGAUGAUGUAGAUGCAACAUUAGUGCUAUUAAGGCAUUGGCAAAUGUGUCCUUGGAGAGGCUGCGGGACCAUGUGCGCCACUCUUGCAUGCUCCACGACAACCUUUUUCUCAUUGAGCAAGAAGGUCUGGAGUGGAGUUGCCAGCAUAUUUGGCAGAAUGCAGUUGUAGUCUUCUCUAGGAAUCCUGUGUGAUCAAUGCACAGAAUAUCAGAGGGGAGCACACACAAUCCCUCCCUGCAUACUACUAAUGGUGCCGUGCUGUGCAAGAGUGUGAAAGACAUGCGUCUAUCAGUGCUGUGCUCCCUUGUGAGUCAUGAGAGCACAUCCCAAUUUUCGUCAGUGCAAUGUUGGAGGGUAUGCUUGCCAUUGCCUCUGGCUCCAUUGAUUGUUUGGGCUCCCUGCUUUCUGUCCUACUGGCCCCAAUUAGCACUGGCCACCACUGCUAUGUGUUCAGAUGUAGAGAGGGCAGACCACUGAGUGGAGGCUAGUGGAUAUUUGCCCUUCCAGCUGUCAGGGCCUGGUUGAAUGAGGAGGAGAGCUGGGAGCCGCUAGCCCAGGGAGGGCUCAGAUUAGCUGGCAGAAGAAGAGUAAUUGAAGCCUGCCUCUCAAGAGCCCCCCAGGGAAACCUCUGAAGAUGACAACUUAAAGCAGCGGUUCUGAACCUGUGGGUCCCCACAUGUUGUUGGACUACAACGCCCAUCAUCCCUGAGCUCUGGCCUUGCUAGCUAGGGAUGAUGGGAGCUGUAGUCCAACAACAUCUGGGGACCCACAAGUUGAGAACCGCUGCCUUAGGGUGUGGAGCCUGAUGGUGGGGCACUGAGGAGCAGUCGGCAGAAGGGAUGAGCUGGGAGCUGAUAGAAGCAUAAGACUUGAGCGAUCAAGGCCGGGGGAUCAGGAGAAGCUGAGAGUCACAGCAUCCUCACAGACAGUCUCUUUUUUAUAUAUAUAGUAUUUAUUAAUUUUCCAACAAUUUAAACACAACACUAC
rnacentral:lncRNA from 1 species